GUACCCGCGGCAAGACGGAAAGACCCCGUGAACCUUUACUAUAGCUUGACACUGAACAUUGAGCCUUGAUGUGUAGGAUAGGUGGGAGGCUUUGAAGUGUGGACGCCAGUCUGCAUGGAGCCGGCCUUGAAAUACCACCCUUUAAUGUUUGAUGUUCUAACGUUGGCCCCUGAUCGGGGUUGCGGACAGUGUCUGGUGGGUAGUUUGACUGGGGCGGUCUCCUCCUAAAGAGUAACGGAGGAGCACGAAGGUUGGCUAAUCCUGGUCG
rnacentral:rRNA from 1 species